ACUAGACCAAAUCUAUCUCAAAAGUUUUAAGACAUUAAUUUUUCUUCUUUUGAUAACAUUCAAUGAGGAACAUUUAAAAAUAAGACUUUUUUCAUGAGAAGAGAUAGUAAUAUCCAC
rfam:Tupaia belangeri cont1.631685, whole genome shotgun sequence.